AGGGUGGGCCGGACGGUCGCGUCGUGGCCGCGGUGGCGGCGCACGGCGAGGAAAGUCCGAACUCCGCAGGGCAGGGUGGUCGGUAACACCGACCCGCCGUAAGGCGGGGAAAGUGCCACAGAAAACAAACCGCCCCGACGGCUGCGUUCGGGGUAAGGGUGAAACGGUGGGGUAAGAGCCCACCGCUCCGGCGGCGACGUCGGAGGCACGGCAAACCCCACCCGGAGCAAGGCCAAAUAGGAGGGGAUGGACUGGCCCGGUCCGCUUGACCCUCGGGUAGGCCGCUCGAUCCCGGUGGCAACAUCGGGACCAGAUAGAUGACCGUCUCGGCUCCGCUGAAACGCGGGGCUCAGACAGAAUUCGGCUUACAGGCCCACCCACGAA
rnacentral:RNase_P_RNA from 1 species